rnacentral:rRNA from 1 species
CUAUCAGCUUGUUGGUGAGGUAAUGGCUCACCAAGGGCAUGACGGGUAGCGGGACUGAGAGGUUUGGCCCGCAACAUCGGGACUGAGACGCUGCCCGGACCUCCACGGAGGGCUGCAGUAACGAAUAUUGCGCAAUGGGCGAAAGCCUGACGCAGCGACGCCGCGUGUAGGAGGAAGUCCCUCGGGAUGUAAACUACUGUCAGGGGACAGAAAGAGUACUUCGGUACUUUGAUCUAUCCCACAGGAAGUCACGGCUAACUUCGUGCCAGCAGCCGCGGUAAGACGAAGGUGGCGAGCGUUAUUCGGUGUCACUGGGCUUCAAGAGUAUGUAGGCGGAAAAUGAAAGCGUCUUGUGAAAUCCCUCGGCUUAACCGAGGAAUUGCAGAGCGAACUACAUUUCUUGAGGCAAGUAAGGGUGUACGGAACUCUAGGUGGAGCGGUGGAAUGCGUAGAUAUCUAGAGGAACGCCCGAUGGAGAAAUCAGUGCACUAGGCUUGUCCUGAACGCUGAGAUACGAAAGCGUGGGGAGCCAACAGGAUUAGAAUACCCUGGUAGUCCAGGCCGUAACCGAUGUCACACUAGAAUGGUGGUGUACUGCCGCAUCCACGAUCGAAGCAAAAGUGUUAAGUUGACCGCCUGGGGAGUACGGUCGCAAGGCUAAAACUCAAAGAAAUUGACGGGGGCUUCACACAAGCGGUGGAGCAUGUGGAUUAAUUGGAAGCAACGCGCAGAACCUUACCUGGGCUUGACAUGCUUGGAUGCCAUUAAAUAGAUUUUGGUGCCCUUCGGGGUGAAACUUGCACAGGUGCUGCAUGGCUGUCGUCAGCUCGUGUCGUGAGAUGUCGGGUUAAGUCCUUUAACGAGCGAACCCUGCCGUUAGUUACCAUCAGAUUAUGCUGGGCACUCUAACGGGACUGCCGGGUCAAACCGGAGGAAGGUGGG